UACGUAGGGUGCAAGCGUUAAUCGGAAUUACUGGGCGUAAAGCGUGCGCAGGCGGUUCGCUAAGACAGAUGUGAAAUCCCCGGGCUUAACCUGGGAACUGCAUUUGUGACUGGCGGGCAAGAGUAUGGCAGAGGGGGGUAGAAUUCCACGUGUAGCAGUGAAAUGCGUAGAGAUGUGGAGGAAUACCGAUGGCGAAGGCAGCCCCCUGGGCCAAUACUGACGCUCAUGCACGAAAGCGUGGGGAGCAAACAGG
rnacentral:rRNA from 1 species